GGGAUAGGAAGGGCAAAAGAAUUCCAUUAACUUGAAGCUUCGGGAGCGGACGGUGAUAAGUCAGAGAGAGAGAGAGAGAGAGAGAAGGGGAUCGAUCUUCGAGAGGGGAUACGACCCCGUCGCCUUCGUCGCCGGCCAACUCAGAUCCUUCGCCGAUUCCUUCUUCUCCUCUUCCUCUUACAUGAGAAGAAGAUCCGCGGACCUCAGGUAAAGAUCUCUUCCCCGUCCUUCCACUCUUUCACGUUCUUUCCGAUCCUUCUUUUUUCUCGAUCGUGUCAUCUCGACCGCUUUUGGUUGAUUUCUUGGUCGUGAUCGCGUCGCCUUCAUGACCGGCCAACUCAGAUCUGGCGCCGAUUCCUUCCCCUCCUCCGUUUGCAUGGGAAGAAGAUCCGCGGACCUCAGGGAAAGAUCUCUUCCCUGUCCUUCCCCUCUUACUCGUUCUUUUCGAUCCUUCUUUUUUCACGAUCGUGUCAUCUCCACCGCUUUUGGUUGAUUUCUUGGUCCAUUUAUCGUGCUCCGCAUUUGAUUGAUUUCUUAGUCGUGAUCGCGUCGCCUUCAUGACCGGCCAACUCAGAUCUGGCGCCGAUUCCUUCCCCUCCUCCGUUUGCAUGGGAAGAAGAUCCGCGGACCUCAGGUAAAGAUCUCUUCCCUGUCCUUCCCCUCUUUCACGUUCUUUCCGAGCCUUCUUUUUUCUUGAUUGUGUCAUCUCCACAGCAUUUGGUUGAUUUCUUGGUCGAUCUAUCCCGCGACAUGUUACCUUUUGGUAGACAAGUUCGAGGGCUUGAUUCUUGAUUUCCAAUUGGUUCCUUCCUUAGCUUCGUUCCCGAUCUUAGAGCUCAUGCACACCCCAAUAGUGUGGUUCUACCUAAUCGGAAUACACAUUGUAAGCUAGAAUCAUCAAACUACCCUUAAGUGAGCAAAAUGAUGAGUCCCGUAGAUGUUGAUUUAGAUUCCCUUUUCUGUUCAUUGGAACUCGUCAGAGAACUUUUCUGAACUUUGAUCGAUUUUAUAAUCAAUAUUUUAUUGAAUCUUUGUGGUGUUUUCCUGCGUGUAGAGGGAAAAAAAAAAAAGAAAAGAAGAAGAAACAGUUUACCAAAAUUUCUAAAAGUAAAAAAAAGGAAACUCUUAUAUGAAAUAGUGCUAUCUUAUGUUUUUGUGUUCGUCUCAUGUUUGGAAGCAUAUCAUCAACCCUUUGGUCAAUUUUAACAUUCACUUUAAGUACUACUUUAUUUUUUUUAACUUGAUUAACUACUUGUAUAUUUGAAUUCUUUCUAAAUCCAAUUCAAACAUCUAUUUACUUUUGUGUCUAUUCCAAGACUUUUAUGUCAAAUAUACUUUGUUUAAAUUAAUUGAAUUUAAUGGUUACGAGAAGUAAACAAAAAUGAUUAAUUGCAAUCCUUAUUGCCAAUAUGAUUGUGCUUUUCUGGUUUGCUUGUGUUGAGGUUUUUCUGUAGCCCAAAGAAUUCCCGUAAAGGGAUAUUGAUGCAGGAAUUAUUCAAUGUAUCAAUAACAAAAAUAUACUUAAAUUUUUUGUCCAUGUUUCUUGAUUUAGAGAAACUGUUUUAAGAAACAGUUUUUGGAGAAUGAUGGCUAUAACGUGUCACAAAACCAAUUUAAGAAACAAGAUAUUAACUAUGGUUGCAUUUUGUAAAUGUUUUCUCGUUUGCCCCCCAUAAAAAAAAGUAGUAAACUCUUUUCCGAAUGAAUUCUUUGUCCAUGUAUGUCACUUUGCUUUUUAAUUGAUUUCUUUGACGUUUUCUGUCUUAACAUGUUCUUCGUCAUCGUCACAUGACGUGGUUGGUUAUUCGUUGUCCCAGAUCUUUUAAUAGACACGUUUGAGGGCUUGAUUCUUGAUUUUUUGAGUUGCAAUUAUUGGUACUUUAAUCAUUUAGCUUUCGUUCCCGAUCUUAAAGGUGCUUCGCAGGAUUUCUUUUCCUUCUCUAGCCUGGUGAGCGCAUUAGGGAGUUGGUUGUACCAAUCUGAAAACGUAUGCAAAAGUUAAAAUCAUCAAACUUCCCUUUAGUAAGCAAGCAAAAGGGGGUGAAUCCCGUAGAUGUUAUUCAAAUUGCGUUUUCUGUUCAUGCUUUGGAAGUUGGCAGAAAUUCAUGUUUCUUAGAGUGUUUACGUCUUCCCCAAAGAAGGGGGCACGACAAAGCAUGAGCUUUGGAACCGUUCUUCAUUUCAGGAAUUUGUGUUUUUUUGGAUGAUUUGGAAGAUACGGAAGCGUGAACAAAAUGGUUCUUGGAUGGCAGUAGUAUUGUUAUGAUAGAUUUCAUUUUGGGGGGCAAUAAAAACUGAAAGAGGAAUUAGUCUCAAAUUUGGUCCUUGGCUUUGCUUGGGUGAUUUUGUCGAGUUUAUCCUCGCUGCAUGCUUUGUCUUGCCUGCAUAAUGUUGUGCUAUAUUGCGAAUCUCAUCUCCACCAAACCUGUCUUGGAUAUUUCUUAGAUAUUUCACUUUAGGAUUUCCAAACAGAUGUAGGGUCUUUUUUGCCUCAACACUAGUGUAUUAUUAUAAUUUUUGGUUGGUUCGAAGUGGUGUCAAAAGUGCCUAAACAAGUACGGAGUCUGGUUCUUAUUAUGUCAGUAUGGUCACAUUUUUUUUCUAUGGAUAAAUUUGAUUGGGGUGUGGUUUUUUCUAUGGAUAAAUUUAAGGAUUUUUCUGUUCUACAAAGUGCUUCUAACUAACUGUAAUCUGAGAAAUUUGUUGCAG
rnacentral:lncRNA from 1 species